AACGAACGCUGGCGGCAUGCCUAACACAUGCAAGUCGAACGAGACCUUCGGGUCUAGUGGCGCACGGGUGCGUAACGCGUGGGAAUCUGCCCCUUGGUUCGGAAUAACUUCGGGAAACUGAAGCUAAUACCGGAUAAUGACGUAAGUCCAAAGAUUUAUCGCCAAGGGAUGAGCCCGCGUAGGAUUAGCUAGUUGGUGGGGUAAAGGCUCACCAAGGCGACGAUCCUUAGCUGGUCUGAGAGGAUGAUCAGCCACACUGGGACUGAGACACGGCCCAGACUCCUACGGGAGGCAGCAGUGGGGGAAUAUUGGACAAUGGGCGAAAGCCUGAUCCAGCAAUGCCGCGUGAGUGAUGAAGGCCUUAGGGUUGUAAAGCUCUUUACCCGGGAAGAUAAUGACUGUACCGGGAG
rnacentral:rRNA from 1 species